rnacentral:rRNA from 1 species
GGGGAAUAUUGGACAAUGGGCGCAAGCCUGAUCCAGCCAUGCCGCGUGGGUGAAGAAGGCCUUCGGGUUGUAAAGCCCUUUUGUUGGGAAAGAAAAGCAGCCGGCCAAUAUCCGGUUGUUCUGACGGUACCCAAAGAAUAAGCACCGGAUACCUUCGUGCCAGCAGCCGCGGUAAUACGAAGGGUGCAAGCGUUACUCGGAAUUACUGGGCGUAAAGCGUGCGUAGGUGGUUUGAUAAGUCAGCGGUGAAAGUUUGCAGCUUAACUGUAAAAAUGCCGUUGAAACUGUCGGACUUGAGUGUAAAUGAGGUAGGCGGAAUGCGUGGUGUAGCGGUGAAAUGCAUAGAUAUCACGCAGAACUCCGAUUGCGAAGGCAGCUUACUAAGCUACAACUGACACUGAAGCACGAAAGCGUGGGGAUCAAACA